UUAACCCACUGAGCCACCCAGGCGCCCGUAUAAGGUAUUUUCUAAUCCUUCAAAUUAUUAGUAUAUUUAAGGAUAUGAGCUUUAAAAAGAUUCAAUAGCAAAAAGU